rnacentral:rRNA from 1 species
CACGUAGGGCGCAAGCGUUGUCCGGAAUCAUUGGGCGUAAAGAGCUCGUAGGUGGUCUGUUACGUCUGCUGUGAAAACCUAGGGCUUAACCCUGGGCCUGCAGUGGAUACGGGCAGACUAGAGGUAGGUAGGGGAGAAUGGAAUUCCCGGUGUAGCGGUGAAAUGCGCAGAUAUCGGGAGGAACACCGGUGGCGAAGGCGGUUCUCUGGGCCUUACCUGACACUGAGGAGCGAAAGCGUGGGGAGCGAACAGG